UUUCGGUUCGGGAUAACGUCUGGAAACGGACGCUAACACCGGAUACGCCCUUCGGGGGAAAGUUUACGCCGAGAGAGGGGCCCGCGUCCGAUUAGGUAGUUGGUGGGGUAAUGGCCCACCAAGCCGACGAUCGGUAGCUGGUCUGAGAGGAUGAUCAGCCACACUGGGACUGAGACACGGCCCAGACUCCUACGGGAGGCAGCAGUGGGGAAUAUUGGACAAUGGGGGCAACCCUGAUCCAGCAAUGCCGCGUGAGUGAUGAAGGCCUUAGGGUUGUAAAGCUCUUUCGCACGCGACGAUGAUG
rnacentral:rRNA from 1 species